ACAGCUUUUGAAUAUCUCCAAGGAAGGAAACUCCACAACCUCUCUGGGCAACCUGUUCCAGUGCUCCGUCACCCUCUUUGUUGCUGCCUUUUGGUUUGGAUGGGCUAGAGAAAGUGAACCUGCACACUCUCCCCUCUGGAAAUAUAUUAGACAGACUGCCAAGACGUCGGGAGCUUGGGAAUUGGCCAAGUUAGCUGCCAGAUACCUGCACCACACAGAUGACCCCAUCAAGAUUUGAUCCCUGCUGUACUGCAUACUGCUCAGACAGAGGAAGAAGCUGCCCUUGCUCUGAAGGAUUAAUAGUCUAACUCUUCUGCCUUAGUGCUGCCUCUCAGCUUUGAUGCAUUGAGAAUCAUUACCUGGGCCAGAAAAAACAUCGUGAUUUAUCGUGGAUCCAGUAAACGCAGAGCCUGCCAAGGAGCUGCCUGAGAGGUCCUAAUUGCAGCCACUCUGUCUUGGCCUGCACAGGACAUGGGGGAAGCAUUGCACAAACACACCAAGAAAAUUACAUAGUUCAUUAUUCAAGUUCCUCAUUGACUAGCAACUUGUGCCGUCAUUUACCAGUACACAGAAUAAGUGCUGCAUGGGACCAAAUAGGAUACCUUAUCAAAAAAAACAGAGCAUUUUUGUACACAAAGAGGAGAGGCAGACCCUACUCUUCUCACCCAUAUUUGCACUUACUGGUGUGGGAAUUUGUCCGUGUGGACGGAUAGAUAGACAAGAGCAGAGUACCAGGUAGAAUCUGCAAAUGUAAAUCUUGGGGUUAUCAAAACCAAACUCUGUUAACCACCCUCACUUGUCUUUGUACAGGGCUUUGAGCACCCUGGUGAAAAAAAUAAAAUCAAAUAAAAUCCAACAGAGCAUUAGCAAUUUUAUUUUGAUUUGUAGAUUUUCUUUUAGUCAUAAAAGAACUGCUGCUAUAUUAGGAUGUUUAUUGCCAAAUUUGGAGCAGUAAUCAGUGAUUUCAGAGUCCUAAUCUGAAUAGUUCAACUGGCAAAAAAUAUGAAUAUGGGCACCCACCUUUCAAAAAUGAGGCUUCCUCAAGGUGUCAACUUAGAAGUGAAGAACUGAGGAACCUUUAGUCACUUUAAAGUCUGGGCAGUCAUUACUAUAUCCUUGUUGUCAGGGUUUUUAUUAUCUUAAAAGUUGAAAGUUUAUUAU